GUACGGGAGGCAGCAGUCGAGAAUUUUUCACAAUGGGCGAAAGCCUGAUGGAGCGACGCCGCGUGGGGGAUGAAUGGCUUCGGCCCGUAAACCCCUGUCAUUCGCGAUCAACCCUUGCUAUUUAAAAGAUGGCAAGCUGAUAGUAGCGGAAGAGGAAGGGACGGCUAACUCUGUGCCAGCAGCCGCGGUAAUACAGAGGUCCCAAGCGUUGUUCGGAUUCACUGGGCGUAAAGGGUGCGUAGGUGGCGGGGUAAGUCGGAUGUGAAAUCUCGGAGCUCAACUCCGAAAUGGCAUUGGAAACUACCUUGCUCGAGGGUUGGAGGGGGGACUGGAAUUCUCGGUGUAGCAGUGAAAUGCGUAGAUAUCGAGAGGAACACCGGUGGCGAAGGCGAGUCCCUGGACAACUCCUGACACUGAGGCACGAAAGCUAGGGGAGCAAACAGGAUUAGAUACCCCGGUAGC
rnacentral:rRNA from 1 species